UACAGAGGAUGCAAGCGUUAUCCGGAAUGAUUGGGCGUAAAGCGUCUGUAGGUGGCUUUUUAAGUCCGCCGUCAAAUCCCAGGGCUCAACUCUGGACAGGCGGUGGAAACUACCAAGCUGGAGUACGGUAGGGGCAGAUGGAAUUCCGGGUGUAGCGGUGGAAUGCGUAGAGAUCCGGAAGAACACCGGUGGCGAAGGCGGUCUGCUGGGCAGUAGCUGACACUGAGGCGCGACAGCGUGGGGAGCAAACAGG
rnacentral:rRNA from 1 species